rnacentral:rRNA from 1 species
AUUGAACGCUGGCGGCAGGCCUAACACAUGCAAGUCGAGCGGAUGAAGGGAGCUUGCUCCUGGAUUCAGCGGCGGACGGGUGAGUAAUGCCUAGGAAUCUGCCUGGUAGUGGGGGAUAACGUCCGGAAACGGGCGCUAAUACCGCAUACGUCCUGAGGGAGAAAGUGGGGGAUCUUCGGACCUUACGCUAUCAGAUGAGCCUAGGUCGGAUUAGCUAGUUGGUGGGGUAAAGGCCUACCAAGGCGACGAUCCGUAACUGGUCUGAGAGGAUGAUCAGUCACACUGGAACUGAGACACGGUCCAGACUCCUACGGGAGGCAGCAGUGGGGAAUAUUGGACAAUGGGCGAAAGCCUGAUCCAGCCAUGCCGCGUGUGUGAAGAAGGUCUUCGGAUUGUAAAGCACUUUAAGUGGGGAGGAAGGGCAGUAAGUUAAUACCUUGCUGUUUUGACGGUACCAACAGAAUAAGCACCGGCUAACUUCGUG